GAUGAACGCUAGCUACAGGCUUAACACAUGCAAGUCGAGGGGCAGCGGUAUCGAAAGCUUGCUUUCGGUAGCCGGCGACCGGCGCACGGGUGAGUAACGCGUAUCGAACCUGCCUCAUACUCGGGAAUAGCCUUGCGAAUGUAAGAUUAAUGCCCGGUGUUUUCAGAGUCCCGCAUGAGGCUUUGAACAAAGAUUUAUCGGUAUGAGAUGGCGAUGCGUCCCAUUAGUUUGUUGGCGAGGUAACGGCCCACCAAGGCAUCGAUGGGUAGGGGUUCUGAGAGGAAGGUCCCCCAGAUUGGAACUGAGACACGGUCCAAACUGCUACGGAAGGCAGCAGUAAGGAAGAUUGGUCGAUGGACGGAAGCCUGAACCAGCCAAGUAGCGUGCAGGAAGACGGCCCUCCGGGUGGUAAACUGCUUUUAGUUGAGAAUAAAACGGGGCUCGUGAGCCCCCUUGCAUGUACCAUCAGAAAAAGGACCGGCUAAUUCCGUG
rnacentral:rRNA from 1 species